UCUCCUGGAAAACGGGUGGUAAUGCCGGAUGCUCCAUCACACUGCAUGGUGUGUUGGGAAAGCCUUUGCGGCAUGGGAUGGGGUCGCGUCCUAUCAGCUUGAUGGCGGGGUAACGGCCCACCAUGGCUUCGACGGGUAGCCGGCCUGAGAGGGCGACCGGCCACAUUGGGACUGAGAUACGGCCCAGACUCCUACGGGAGGCAGCAGUGGGGAAUAUUGCACAAUGGGCGCAAGCCUGAUGCAGCGACGCCGCGUGAGGGAUGGAGGCCUUCGGGUUGUAAACCUCUUUUGUUAGGGAGCAAGGCAUUUUGUGUUGAGUGUACCUUUCGAAUAAGCACCGGCUAACUACGUGCCAGCAGCCGCGGUAAUACGUAGGGUGCAAGCGUUAUCCGGAAUUAUUGGGCGUAAAGGGCUCGUAGGCGGUUCGUCGCGUCCGGUGUGAAAGUCCAUCGCUUAACGGUGGAUCCGCGCCGGGUACGGGCGGGCUUGAGUGCGGUAGGGGAGACUGGAAUUCCCGGUGUAACGGUGGAAUGUGUAGAUAUCGGGAAAGAACACCA
rnacentral:rRNA from 1 species